rnacentral:rRNA from 1 species
UUACGGCCUGGGCUACACACGUGCUACAAGUGGUCGGUACAAAGGGUUGCCAAGCCGCGAGGUGGAGCUAAUCCCAUAAAACCGAUCGUAGUCCGGAUCGCAGUCUGCAACUCGACUGCGUGAAGUCGGAAUCGCUAGUAAUCGUGGAAUCAGAAAUGUCACGGUGAAUACGUUCCCGGGCCUU